GGGAUAACUCCGGGAAACCGGGGCUAAUACCGAAUGAUAGAAUGUGGCGCAUGCCACGCUUUUGAAAGAUGGUUUCGGCUAUCGCUUACAGAUGGGCCCGCGGUGCAUUAGCUAGUUGGUAGGGUAAUGGCCUACCAAGGCAACGAUGCAUAGCCGACCUGAGAGGGUGAUCGGCCACACUGGGACUGAGACACGGCCCAGACUCCUACGGGAGGCAGCAGUAGGGAAUCUUCCGCAAUGGACGAAAGUCUGACGGAGCAACGCCGCGUGUAUGAAGAAGGUUUUCGGAUCGUAAAGUACUGUUGUUAGAGAAGAACAAGGAUAAGAGUAACUGCUUGUCCCUUGACGGUAUCUAACCAGAAAGCCACGGCUAACUACGUGCCAGCAGCCGCGGUAAUACGUAGGUGGCAAGCGUUGUCCGGAUUUAUUGGGCGUAAAGCGCGCGCAGGCGGUCUUUUAAGUCUGAUGUGAAAGCCCCCGGCUUAACCGGGGAGGGUCAUUGGAAACUGGAAGACUGGAGUGCAGAAGAGGAGAGUGGAAUUCCACGUGUAGCGGUGAAAUGCGUAGAUAUGUGGAGGAACACCAGUGGCGAAGGCGACUCUCUGGUCUGUAACUGACGCUGAGGCGCGAAAGCGUGGGGAGCAAACAGGAUU
rnacentral:rRNA from 1 species